rnacentral:rRNA from 1 species
AUUGAACGCUGGCGGCAGGCUUAACACAUGCAAGUCGAACGAUGACUCUCUAGCUUGCUAGAGAUGAUUAGUGGCGGACGGGUGAGUAACAUUUAGGAAUCUACCUAGUAGUGGGGGAUAGCUCGGGGAAACUCGAAUUAAUACCGCAUACGACCUACGGGUGAAAGGGGGCGCAAGCUCUUGCUAUUAGAUGAGCCUAAAUCAGAUUAGCUAGUUGGUGGGGUAAAGGCCUACCAAGGCGACGAUCUGUAACUGGUCUGAGAGGAUGAUCAGUCACACCGGAACUGAGACACGGUCCGGACUCCUACGGGAGGCAGCAGUGGGGAAUAUUGGACAAUGGGGGCAACCCUGAUCCAGCCAUGCCGCGUGUGUGAAGAAGGCCUUUUGGUUGUAAAGCACUUUAAGCAGGGAGGAGAGGCUAAUGGUUAAUACCCAUUAGAUUAGACGUUACCUGCAGAAUAAGCACCGGCUAACUCUGUG